AGUGAACGCUGGCGGUAGGCCUAACACAUGCAAGUCGAACGGCAGCACAGUAAGAGCUUGCUCUUACGGUUGGCGAGUGGCGGACGGGUGAUGAAUACAUCGGAAUCUACUUUUUCGUGGGGGAUAACGUAGGGCUACUUACGCUAAUACCUCAUACGACCUACGGGUGAAAGCAGGGGAUCUUCUGACCUUGCGCGAUUGUAUUAGCCGAUUUGGGAUUAGGUAGUUGGCGUGGUAAAGGCCCACCAAGGCGACGAUCCUUAGCUUGUGUGAUAGGAUGAUCAGACACACAGGAAUGGAGACACGGUCGAGAAUAAUAUGGGAGGAAGCAGUGGAGAAGAUUGGACAAUGGGCGAAAGCCUGAUGCAGGAAUAGCGAGUAGGGGAAGAAGGCCUUCGGGUUGUAAAGACGUUUUGUUGGGAAAGAAAAGCAGCAGGUGAAUACGCCGAUGUUCUGACGGUACCCAAAGAAUAAGCACCGGCUAACUACGUG
rnacentral:rRNA from 1 species